UCUACUAAAGGAUAAAAGUAUUCCGCUGGUCUUAGGCACCAAAACCCUUGGUGCAAAUCCAAGUAGUAGAA
rnacentral:tRNA from 1 species